ensembl:lncRNA
UUUACUGUUUACAAUUACAACUGUGUGUUAAUAAAUUGGGAUAUGUACAAAGAAGACUUGGACCUAGUUUUAGUUAAAAAUUUUGUUGAAGAUAGUAAUUUGGGUUUAGAGCUUCUUUUUCUGAAAUCACAAAGAAAACUACAUAGUGUUAUCAAAAGGAAGAUAUAAGGAGUAAAUUUCUACUUAAUAAUUUCAGAUAUAAGUACAUACAAAUAAUGAAGUAAGCAUGUAUAUAUUUUCCCCUUGUACAUAGCAGAAUUUCAAAACAAACAUCCUUUUGAUUUUUUUUUUUGUCUCAAUAGGAUUUAGUUGAAAGAGAAGGUGAUUUGGUGCCUGAUGGUUCUAGGAACAAAUACUUGCUAUCACAGUUAUUGUGUGGCCUUAAGGCAGUACUUUAAUCCUUAGGCCUCUGUCUUUCCUUGAAUCAGAUGGAGAUAAAAACCUACCUCACAGUGUUGUAGUAAGAGUUGCAAGGAAGGCAGUACUUAUAUUAAGGGUUGAAUAAAUGGUUAUUACAUUUAAGUGAGACCAGAAGCCUGGGAAAUUAAGGCAUCAAGGGAAAAAUGAAACAGAAGGAUAAGCUAUAAAGAUUAAAAAUGGUCAAUAAAAGUGAUUGAGGGAAUAAAGAUGGUAUUGAACCAAGAUAGGAAAAUGUAAGACCACUCAAUAGCAAAGUUUAUCUAUAUUCUGACUCUUCUGAGUUUUGGAAUGGUGUUUUCGGGGAAAAAAAAAAAGCACAAUGAGAAGAGAAAAAAAAAAAGAAAAAAAAGCAACAAUAUAAAACUAUAGGGAAAUUAAAACCAAGAAAAUUAGAUCAAAUAUGGAACUUUUAUCAAAAAGCAGUUGAGCAAUGUGAAGAGAACAAUAUGAUAAAACAAAAACUCUGGGAAGUCUAGAAUAGAAAAGAAUAGAAAAACAAAGAAACUGGGAAAGACAGGAAAAAAGCAAACAGAGAAAAUGUUGAAGUGUUAGUAUGUUCAAGCUAGUGGAACACACACAACUGUGCAUUUAAUUUUGACAGCAAAAGAUACCUGAAUUGAGCCUGAUUUACUAAAAGAAAAAGGCAUACUAGUAUGAGAAAGCAAUGAUUUUUUUUUUUUAAAUUCUCAAGUUAAAACAGAAUGUAUUUAAGCAUAAUAUAUGUCUGUGUUUUAAAAUGCAUAUGGAAUUCUGGGUUUGGGGCAGGGAGACAUCACUUGAUUUCACUAUAAAUUUACCCAUCUGGAUACUAGAAGUGAGACAUUUAUUGUUUACUCAUUCAUCCAAUCAGAGAAGAUAAAUUUUUCAAAUUGCAGUUAUAUCAACAGAUACAGCAGAGAUCUUAAUUAGUUAAAAAUCUUCAUAAGUGUCAUUUGGCUGAACGGAUAAAAUAAGAGCAACAAAAAUAUCUCCAGCCACACAACAAGCCAUCUAAAAAUUCUCUGGGGAUCUAUUCCUCACUUCUAUAGCAAAGUAACACAUGUAACUCUACCACAAAUCUAAAGGCAAAUAGAUGUUCCUGUUCACUUUUUCUUACAAGAAAGCAUCUGCUUACAACGUUUGUUUGUUUGUUUGUUUGUUUUUUGGCUGUUAUUUUUCUCUUGAAUGUUCCAAUUCAAAAACAUCACCCUACCACCUUUUUUGCUUGUUAAAUCUCUCUGUCCUUAGGGCUACAUCUCUAUGCACCAGAGAAACGAUCUCAUUAACAAAGUAGUUCUGUGUGUCCUUAAUACUGAGGCCCUAGACUGCAGCUGCAGGCAGUUCUCUACUCAGCCCGCAGUGCCGAGUGACACAGACAGGCGACAUCAUCUGAGUACUAACUUCUACUACAUCCAGACAGACUGCGAGAACCAUUUCCAAAUCGUGGGAAGACGUUAGAGAACCAAAGGUAAUCCUUCUGUUUCUAUGUCCAAUUUUUGCAGCUAUCAAAGAUUUCCACCUGGAAGGAAACAUUGGGGAUGGGAGCAGGCUCUGUGUCAAAACUGGGGUGGCUGCAAAGUUUUGGACAAGACCUCUACAGGCAACUGGAAGCACAGUGUACCCAGGUGGUGGGGCUCGUCUGUGGCAAUAUAUUUUCCAGUCUGUCCAAUUGAAUAUGGCUGUAAGGGGAAUAAAACCCCAUGUAAUCUCCAGCAGUGACAAUUUAAUCAGUUGUGUAAGGGGAAGAAGCAGAGUCCCCUCAUUUUCAUAUUUGCAUAUUUGAUUUUUGCAUUGGGGAAUAGAGGUUAUGUGUUUCUAUUACUUUCCAUUUGAUUUUAAUAUUUAACCCUUUUAGGAGCAAAUUUCUUCCAAUGAUAGGAAAUAUUGAGUCAAGCUGGUCAAAAAAUAAGAUUUCUGUUUUCAAAUAAAGCUCUGGAUGCAGCAUGUCCUGUGUAACAUUUUUUCCUACAAAGAAUCUAUGUGCCGAACAUGGCUUGUGUGUUCCCAGCUUCUGCACAUUAUGCAUCCCCUCUUAACAUUCAGAGAUCCACCCUGAAAAUGAAGGCAACUAUUUGGAGAACAAUACAAAAUGAUGAGGUAGUCUUAUACCUAUACCAUAGUAUGUCCCCUUUUUUGUAUUUGCAUUUUUUAAAAUGGUAAGUCUUAAUAACUGCUGCUAUUCCUGAGAAAGUAGGGUUUCUAAAAUACCUUAUAUAUACAGGAAUCCCUUCUUAUGAGGUUAUAGAAAGGCAAUAGAUACAGUUAAAUUAGUAAAAUUCCAUUGUUUUAAAACUCUGUUUUACAACUGACAGAAUGAUGUUAUUAUCCAUAAUAUGGUAACAGAUUAGGGAAUAGAUUUUAAAAUAAAUAAGAUGCAGGUAAUUCAAAGUCAUCAUCAAUUACCCUUGUGUGACUCCCUUGAGUAUAUUAAAAAUCCACUCAAAAUGGUUUUGGAUUUGAAUUGCUGGAACAUAGAUAGCUGUUUUUUCUUUUUUCUUUUUUAAUGCAUCAAUUCAUGUAAACCUCCGAUUGUGAAAGCUCCAGAAG